CUCUGCCUCCUGAACAACCCUGAUGCUUCCCUGUGUGGUCCCUUGUGGCAUAGAGUGCCCCCUCUUCUCAGGAACUAUGGUGAUGGCCAGGGUGCACAAGACCCCGGUGAAGGAUGGGAAAAAGAGCAAGAAGAUGAAGAAAGUCAUCAUCUGUGAGGCCCGCCAGGCUUUGCUCGGAGGCUGGAAAUUCAUCAUCAGGCUGAUCUGAAGAGAGAGAGGCAGCCACCUCCCAUCUGCAGCCGGAGCAGCGGCAGAGGGACCCCAGCCAGGCCUGGCUUCCUGACACCUUUGCAGAGCCCCCUUCCCCAGCUUUAAGCGCCACCAGGUCACAGGUGACUGAACAAAGCUGAUUGAUGGCAAUGUCGGACUGACUCACAUUUUUGGAGUAGAACAUGAUGAAAAGCAUAAUCAUUUGGAUAAAGGGCAGCAGGGGGCAGAAGAAGAUGCCAAUCCUGUGAGGGAGAGAGGUAGAGACGGGAUUUCACCAUGUUAGCCAGGAUGGUCUCGAUCUCCUGACCUCGUGAUCCACCCGCCUCGGCCUCCCAAAGUGCUGGGAUUACAGGCGUGAGCCACCACACCCAGCUAAUGUGUGUCACUUCUAAGCUGGAGCACUUAAUGCCCCUGUGAGACUCU
rnacentral:lncRNA from 1 species